UACGAAGGGUGCAAGCGUUUAUCGGAAUUACUGGGCGUAAAGCGCGCGUAGGUGGUUCAGUAAGUUGGAAGUGAAAUCCCCGGGCUCAACCUGGGAACUGCUUUCAAAACUGCUGAGCUAGAGUACGGUAGAGGGUGGUGGAAUUUCCUGUGUAGCGGUGAAAUGCGUAGAUAUAGGAAGGAACACCAGUGGCGAAGGCGACCACCUGGACUGAUACUGACACUGAGGUGCGAAAGCGUGGGGAGCAAACAGG
rnacentral:rRNA from 1 species